CGGACGGGUGAGUAACGCGUGAGAAUCUGGCUUCAGGUCUGGGACAACCACUGGAAACGGUGGCUAAUACCGGAUGUGCCGAAAGGUGAAAGGUUAACUGCCUGAAGAUGAGCUCGCGUCUGAUUAGCUAGUUGGUAGAGUAAAAGCCUACCAAGGCGACGAUCAGUAGCUGGUCUGAGAGGACGAUCAGCCACACUGGGACUGAGACACGGCCCAGACUCCUACGGGAGGCAGCAGUGGGGAAUUUUCCGCAAUGGGCGAAAGCCUGACGGAGCAAUACCGCGUGAGGGAGGAAGGCUCUUGGGUCGUAAACCUCUUUUCUCAGGGAAGAACACAAUGACGGUACCUGAGGAAUAAGCAUCGGCUAACUCCGUGCCAGCAGCCGCGGUAAUACGGAGGAUGCAAGCGUUAUCCGGAAUGAUUGGGCGUAAAGCGUCCGCAGGUGGCAAUGUAAGUCUGCUGUUAAAGAGUCUAGCUCAACUAGAUAAGAGCAGUGGAAACUACAUAGCUAGAGUACGUUCGGGGCAGAGGGAAUUCCUGGUGUAGCGGUGAAAUGCGUAGAGAUCAGGAAGAACACCAGUGGCGAAGGCGCUCUGCUAGGCCGUAACUGACACUGAGGGACGAAAGCUAGGGGAGCGAAUGGGAUUAGAUACCCCAGUAGUC
rnacentral:rRNA from 1 species